GACGGGGGAUGCAAGAGUUAUCCGGAAUCACUGGGCGUAAAGCGUCUGUAGGUGGUGAUGCAAGUCACUGGUGCAAAACUCUGGCUCAACCGGAGGAAAGCCAGUGAAACUGCAUUACUAGAGUGUGGGAGAGGUAGAAGGAAUUCCCUGAGUAGCGGUGAAAUGCGUAGAUACAGGGAAGAACACCGGAGGCGAAAGCGUUCUACUGGAACUCAACUGACACUGAGAGACGAAAGCUAGGGGAGCGAAUGGG
rnacentral:rRNA from 1 species